rnacentral:rRNA from 1 species
UCUUGUGUGAUUUCCCAAUGAAGCGAAGCACUGUUGAGCCUGGCCAGUACCUGGAUGGGAGACCACCUGGGGAAAACUAAGGUUACUGCUGGAA